rnacentral:ribozyme from 1 species
UGCCUAGCAACUCCUUUCCCUACCUUUUCGUGGCCGGAGUACGAGUAACCUUAGGGAAGAUCGGGUAACCAACCCCGGUGGGAGCUUUUGUCGUAUGCUGACAGGGAAGG